UGGAUCCUGUUGAUUGAAUUAUG
rnacentral:miRNA from 1 species